UACGUAGGUCCCGAGCGUUGUCCGGAUUUAUUGGGCGUAAAGCGAGCGCAGGUGGUUUAUUAAGUCUGGUGUAAAAGGCAGUGGCUAAACCAUUGUAUGCAUUGGAAACUGGUAGACUUGAGUGCAGGAGAGGAGAGUGGAAUUCCAUGUGUAGCGGUGAAAUGCGUAGAUAUAUGGAGGAACACCGGUGGCGAAAGCGGCUCUCUGGCCUGUAACUGACACUGAGGCUCGAAAGCGUGGGGAGCAAACAGG
rnacentral:rRNA from 1 species